GAUGAACGCUGGCGGUCUGCUUAACACAUGCAAGUCGAACGAACUCUUCGGAGUGAGUGGCGGACGGGUGAGUAACGCGUGAGAAUCUGCCUGUGGGUCGGGGACAACCACUGGAAACGGUGGCUAAUACCGGAUGAGCCGAAAGGUAAAAAAUUUAUUGCCCACAGAUGAGCUCGCGUCUGAUUAGCUAGUUGGUAAGGUAAAAGCGUACCAAGGCGACGAUCAGUAGCUGGUCUGAGAGGAUGAGCAGCCACACUGGGACUGAGACACGGCCCAGACUCCUACGGGAGGCAGCAGUGGGGAAUUUUCCGCAAUGGGCGAAAGCCUGACGGAGCAAGACCGCGUGGGGGAGGAAGGUUUUUGGAUCGUAAACCCCUUUUGUCAAGGAAGGAGUUCUGACGGUACUUGACGAAUAAGCCUCGGCUAACUCCGUGCCAGCAGCCGCGGUAAUACGGAGGAGGCAAGCGUUAUCCGGAAUGAUUGGGCGUAAAGCGUCUGUAGGUGGCCAGCUAAGUCUGCUGUUAAAGAUCACAGCUCAACUGUGGGAAGGCAGUGGAAACUGGCAAGCUAGAGGCUGGUAGGGGUAAAGGGAAUUCCCGGUGUAGCGGUGAAAUGCGUA
rnacentral:rRNA from 1 species